rnacentral:rRNA from 1 species
UACGAAGGGGGCUAGCGUUGUUCGGAAUUACUGGGCGUAAAGGGCGCGUAGGCGGCGUGUCAAGUCAGGCGUGAAAGGCCUGGGCUCAACCCGGGAAUUGCGCUUGAGACUGGGCUGGCUUGAGUGCGGGAGAGGAUGGUGGAAUUCCCAGUGUAGAGGUGAAAUUCGUAGAUAUUGGGGAAGAACACCGGUGGCGAAGGCGGCCAUCUGGACCGCAACUGACGCUGAGGCGCGAAACGUGGGGAGCAAACAGG